CCUACGGGAGGCAGCAGUGGGGAAUCUUGCGCAAUGGGCGAAAGCCUGACGCAGCCAUGCCGCGUGAAUGAUGAAGGUCUUAGGAUUGUAAAAUUCUUUCACCGGGGACGAUAAUGACGGUACCCGGAGAAGAAGCCCCGGCUAACUUCGUGCCAGCAGCCGCGGUAAUACGAAGGGGGCUAGCGUUGCUCGGAAUUACUGGGCGUAAAGGGAGCGUAGGCGGAUAGUUUAGUCAGAGGUGAAAGCCCAGGGCUCAACCUUGGAAUUGCCUUUGAUACUGGCUAUCUUGAGUAUGGGAGAGGUUAGCGGAACUCCGAGUGUAGAGGUGAAAUUCGUAGAUAUUCGGAAGAACACCAGUGGCGAAGGCGGCUAACUGGCCCAUUACUGACGCUGAGGCUCGAAAGCGUGGGGAGCAAACAGGAUUAGAUACCCUGGUAGUCCACGCCGUAAACGAUGAGUGCUAGUUGUCGGCAUGCAUGCAUGUCGGUGACGCAGCUAACGCAUUAAGCACUCCGCCUGGGGAGUACGGUCGCAAGNUUAAAACUUAAGGAAUUGACGG
rnacentral:rRNA from 1 species